UGGAGGGUAUUACAUACCAAACAUAGGUACGUCAUUAGCUCGCUUCCUUCCCUUCUCUUCCCUUCGUCCCUCAGUCCCAUGCUCGUGGCGCUGAAGUGGCAUCGACAGGCGAUGGCGGCGAGGACAGCACGUGGCAGCCCCUGAAGCACGAACACGACUGCACCUCGGGUCUGCCGUCUCCCAAGAUAUGGCUCCGGCCGAUUGACAAUGGAGGUUUGCCAUCCUUCCUCUCAGCACCCACUCCUGGAGGAACGACACGCCAUGCCGAUCGAACCCGGUCGAGAUCACUCACCAAGAUUGCUAUUCGGAAGAAGAGUGGGACGGGAUCUGCACUUUUGUUAAUAUAACAUAUACUUGUGCAGAUGUUGUAUAUUCUUGGAUUGAAGGGACUGUCUGACAAGGUGAAAGAGCUAAUCUCUACUCCUAAUGAUCAUGGGCUAAUCUCUACAGUUUAUUUUUGUCCGGUUUUUU